AUGUUUGAAAAAUGCAACAAAUGCUGUUGCUUGGCAGACCGAGAAGGCGGAGCCGCUAACAAACACACACACGCACACACACACACACACACACACACACACACACACACACACACAUCAAUUAGAGGGCUCCUGGGAGCUUGUCUCAGGAGGACUGAAGCACGUCAUCAGAUUCACACGGAGGAGGAUGGAAACGAUAGAACAGUAGACAGAAAGGAGUGGUAAGAGAUGAAGGGCUAAAAAGUAAAGGAAACGGGAAAGAUCAUUUGUUCAGCGUGUUAGCCGUAGCUCAAAGACAUCGACUUGCUUCCUCGUGUAACGCAUGCACACAUAUAGAAAUAUAGCAUAUAGAUAGGCUGAACUGGCUGAAUCAGUGAAUUAUGCUUCAUACAAAGAGGCCAAAUCAUGGCCACUAUGUUGACCCUCUACAGGUCUCUGUUCCCAUGGUUACCGUUGCUAUGAUACUGAGUUGGGUCCAGAUUCAAAUGGACAAACUGAGAAAAUGUAAUCAAAAGCCUGUGACAGACGGUAAAUGAACUCAAUGCUUACCUUUUUGCCAUGAGUUAGUUUUUAUUUUGCAUCUCUAUCAAAUAAACCACGGGACUAAAAAUGUUGUUCAUUGAUUCAUGUUUAAUAAAAAUAUGCUCUCCGUAUUCACCUGAGAGUCAGUUCCCUUGCAGCUCAUUUCAUAACUCUGAUAUAGUUAAAAAAAAUGUGAAGGAAUGCUAUUUUUGUUUAUUCAGCACUGAACAAGCAUUUUUCUGGUCCCCGUAAUCAGUUUAAAGAAGGUUUUUCUUGUUAAUCCAGCAGCUUGUUGAGAGUGUGAAAGACAAUGUGCCAAUUUGUAGGAAGCCAAUGACAUUAACUCUGGUUGAAUCCGUUUACAGUUUAAAAAUUAUAUUCAUUUAUUAAAUUUGUUUUAAAAGCUUUAUAAGAAUAGUACUGAAUAGUAGGUGUGGUUGCCUUCAAAUGUAACCGCUCAUUAAUCCCUUAGAUCUAUGUGGCGUUUUACAAAGACGUUACUAAUGCACUCAGUCAUGGUGGUGAUGGCGAACUCCAUCGUAGUAACGGCUGCCCUGAGCCAGCCUGACAGGUGGAGCUGCCAAAUUGUGCCACCAGCAUCGCUGAUCACCAACAACACAAUAACAGAAGUGCGAGGAAUGAGCUGGGGUUGAACCAGCAACCCUCUGAUUAGUGCACAACCUGCUUUACCUGCACAGUCACUGCAACCCACAAAAUAGCUCAAAAUGUUCCUAAUAGCUAACGGUGUAAGGUCACAUUGAUACGCUUAAAUAUCUCGAUAUUUUGUGAUAUGAGAACGAAUCAAUAUUUAAAAGAUUUAGACUUAACAUGCAAACAUUGACUGUAUUUCUUUUUUGUGGUAAAAUUCAACCUCUGACAGCUAGGUGGCAGCAGUUUUCACUGCCCUCACUCUGACAGAACAAUCUUACCAUACCAGUGGAUGUGUCUGGGCGCAUCUGGGCUGAGUUUUACAAUUACUUCAGUCUGAAUACGUGUAAAUGUCAUCAGGCUUUUAAAAUCGCAAUAUAGUUUGUUGUUUUGUCUGUACUAUAACAUUUAUCAUAUCACCAGAUGCAUGUCAAUACACACCCCUACUAACUAUAAUAAGAGCUCUAUUGUUAUUGUUAAGACAUUUCUAAAUGUUUGAUCUUUGAAAUGUAAUGGAUUUUUUUAUUUUUUGUAACAUGUAAAGUAUUCUUUACCAAAACAACAUUUUAUCACAUAAAUGCUGUAUAUUAUUUGAAAAAAAUUAAGCAACAAAUAAAUUGUUUCUUCUUGAUAUACAUAGCUGGUAAAAGUGAAAAUUUUCAACUUUCACAAUGUAUUGAUUAAUUCUUACAUUCAAUUUUCAUUUAUUAAUACAUUUGCAGGGGUCUCUAGUAGGAACUAAUGCAUUGUAUGUUGUACUAUGGGGGAAAAAAAAAGCUCCAGUGCACCAUUUUCAGGAACUAGACAUUUGUCAGAGGAGAGCUUCAAAUGACAUGAUUUAGCAUCUUAUUUCCUGACAUUUGGACAUCUCGCCUCGGAUUGGGCAACAGCAACGUGACUCUACCACUGAAUCCAUUAGCUCUGCAACGCUGAUGUUUUAUCUCCACAAAUAACACAAGCCCGGAGGAGUCCUGCUGUGUAGUGGAGCUGCUAAUGCUAACGAUUAUCUUCUACUGGAUGAGAAUUUCUCAGCUGUUACCUGGAUGGUGUAGAACUGGCUGGCUGGUCAAACUGUAGCGUUGUGGUUUAUGCUCUUUUAUGAAAGAGGAACCAUUCUACAUGAUAAUUUGUGAUAUUAAUUUUAUUAAAUUAAUAACCAAAUUGUAUAGUUUUAAGAAGACUCAAAGGUUGUUUUCUUCGAUAAACUGUCGAUAAUAUCAGUGUGUCUGUGUUUAGUUCACUCAGAAAUCAAAAGACUCGGGAUGAGCCUGCGUUAGAAGUUGCGAUUCAGCUAUUCUGUCUGGCUUGGCAGGAACAGCGUGAGAGGG
rnacentral:lncRNA from 1 species